rnacentral:rRNA from 1 species
ACGAACGCUGGCGGCGUGCCUAAUACAUGCAAGUCGAACGAACCGCGACUAAGUGCUUGCACUAAGUCAAGGUGAGUGGCGAACGGGUGAGUAACACGUGGGUAACCUACCUCAUAGUGGGGGAUACAGUCGGAAACGACUGCUAAUACCGGAAAGGACAUAGGAAUAAAUGGUCCAGUGAGGAAAGGUGGGGCAAGGUAUCGCUCAGGGAUGGACCCGCGGUGCAUUAGCUAGUUGGUAGGGUAAAGGCCUACCAAGGGGAUGAUGCAUAGCCGACCUGAGAGGGUGAUCGGCCACAUUGGGACUGAGACACGGCCCAAACUCCUACGGGAGGCAGCAGUAGGGAAUCUUCCGCAAUGGACGCAAGUCUGACGGAGCAACGCCGCGUGAGUGAAGAAGGUCUUCGGAUCGUAAAGCUCUGUUGUUAGAGAAGAACAGCGCAUAGAGUAACUGCUGUGCGUGUGACGGUAUCUAACCAGAAAGCCACGGCUAACUACGUG